rnacentral:rRNA from 1 species
AAAACGACUCUCGGCAACGGAUAUCUCGGCUCUCGCAUCGAUGAAGAACGUAGCAAACUGCGAUACUUGGUGUGAAUUGCAGAAUCCCGUGAAUCAUCGAGUCUUUGAACGCAAGUUGCGCCCGAAGCCGCCAGGCCGAGGGCACGUCUGCCUGGGCGUCACGA